CCUCAUGCCUUUGAUUAUUUCUCUUUUCAACUUUUCUUUCCAAGAAACCAAACAAGCAAUUUUCUCGGGCGUUUACCAGAACCAAGUUACUACAAUUCCAAUUCCCCAUCUCUCAAAAUCAAUGAAGAAAUCAGGCCUCUUCGCUGCUUCUGUUGCUGCUGCUUCUGCUACUGCUAUAUCUGCUUCCUCUUCUUCUUCCACCUCAAAUUUUAGCUGUAAUUCUAAUAUGCAGCUUUCUCCUGAGGAAGCUAGCUCAAAGAAACAUCAACAGAAAUCACCU
rnacentral:misc_RNA from 1 species